CGUAAUCACUUGUCUUUUAAAUGGAGACCAGUAUGAAUGGCAUAACGAGGGCCUAGCUGUCUCCUUUUUCCAGUCAAUGAAAUUGAUUUCCCUGUGCAGAAGCAGGGAUAAACACAUAAGACGAGAAGACCCUAUGGAGCUUAAGACAUAAGACAGCCCAUGUUAAAAACCCCCAUCAAUCGAAAUAACCAAAUGGCUUCUGUCCCCGUCUUUGGUUGGGGCGACCGUGGAGUAACAAGAAACCCCCAUGUGGAAUAGGGCCAAAGCCCUUAAAGCCAGAGCCACAGCUCUAACAAACAGAACAUCUGACCUUCAAGAUCCGGCAAAGCCGAUCAACGGACCGAGUUACCCUAGGGAUAACAGCGCAAUCCCCUUCUAGAGCCCAUAUCGACAAGGGGGUUUACGACCUCGAUGUUGGAUCAGGACACCCUAAUGGUGCAGCCGCUAUUAAGGGUUC
rnacentral:rRNA from 1 species